GGCGGGGUGCCUAUCAUGCAAGUCGAGCGGACAGAUGGGAGCUUGCUCCCUGAUGUUAGCGGCGGACGGGUGAGUAACACGUGGGUAACCUGCCUGUAAGACUGGGAUAACUCCGGGAAACCGGGGCUAAUACCGGAUGCUUGUUUGAACCGCAUGGUUCAAACAUAAAAGGUGGCUUCGGCUACCACUUACAGAUGGACCCGCGGCGCAUUAGCUAGUUGGUGAGGUAAUGGCUCACCAAGGCAACGAUGCGUAGCCGACCUGAGAGGGUGAUCGGCCACACUGGGACUGAGACACGGCCCAGACUCCUACGGGAGGCAGCAGUAGGGAAUCUUCCGCAAUGGACGAAAGUCUGACGGAGCAACGCCGCGUGAGUGAUGAAGGUUUUCGGAUCGUAAAGCUCUGUUGUUAGGGAAGAACAAGUACCGUUCGAAUAGGGCGGUACCUUGACGGUACCUAACCAGAAAGCCACGGCUAACUACGUGCCAGCAGCCGCGGUAAUACGUAGGUGGCAAGCGUUGUCCGGAAUUAUUGGGCGUAAAGGGCUCGCAGGCGGUUUCUUAAGUCUGAUGUGAAAGCCCCCGGCUCAACCGGGGAGGGUCAUUGGAAACUGGGGAACUUGAGUGCAGAAGAGGAGAGUGGAAUUCCACGUGUAGCGGUGAAAUGCGUAGAGAUGUGGAGGAACACCAGUGGCGAAGGCGACUCUCUGGUCUGUAACUGACGCUGAGGAGCGAAAGCGUGGGGAGCGAACAGGAUUAGAUACCCCUGGUAGUCCACGCCGUAAACGAUGAGUGCUAAGUGUUAGGGGGUUUCCGCCCCUUAGUGCUGCAGCUAACGCAUUAAGCACUCCGCCUGGGGAGUACGGUCGCAAGACUGAAACUCAAAGGAAUUGACGGGGGCCCGCACAAGCGGUGGAGCAUGUGGUUUAAUUCGAAGCAACGCGAAGAACCUUACCAGGUCUUGACAUCCUCUGACAAUCCUAGAGAUAGGACGUCCCCUUCGGGGGCAGAGUGACAGGUGGUGCAUGGUUGUCGUCAGCUCGUGUCGUGAGAUGUUGGGUUAAGUCCCGCAACGAGCGCAACCCUUGAUCUUAGUUGCCAGCAUUCAGUUGGGCACUCUAAGGUGACUGCCGGUGACAAACCGGAGGAAGGUGGGGAUGACGUCAAAUCAUCAUGCCCCUUAUGACCUGGGCUACACACGUGCUACAAUGGACAGAACAAAGGGCAGCGAAACCGCGAGGUUAAGCCAAUCCCACAAAUCUGUUCUCAGUUCGGAUCGCAGUCUGCAACUCGACUGCGUGAAGCUGGAAUCGCUAGUAAU
rnacentral:rRNA from 2 species